rnacentral:tRNA from 2 species
AUGUAGUAGCCCAGCGGAUAGAGCGCCCUUCUGACUAAAGGGAAGGCCGCGGAUUCGAGUCCCGCCUACAUCU